UCACAAAGGAAGCAAAAGGAAGCGAGGACAUAAGAAAUGGGUCUGCAAGUUUUGUUCGAUAAAGAAACCAAAUAAAAGCUGACAAGAAGAGACAAAAUAGUGCAGAGCUCUCUUCUUUCUCUCAGUCAACACACGUCCAUAACAGGUUAAGAAAGGAGGGGGAGAGAGGGAGAGUUGGCCGCGGGGGGAGCCAUUGGAAGCGAGAAGGAGAGAUUGGAGAGAGAGAUCUGCGAGAGUGAGAAGCGGAGUCGAGAACGAACGACGCAUCCUACGGCGACCAUCGCGUCCGAACCUUGGACGACGACCUCUCCCGGCCAACGUCCCCAGCACCCCACCCCCCGGCGUCCGUGUUUCCGGUGAGCCCUUUUCUUGGUCUCGAACCCCCAUACCCGAAGAUCUCGGCUCGGAGGUGUCGAGGCAGUCAACCAUGGCACGAUUUGUGUCGAGCGCACCCUUUAACCGUCGUCUCCAAGCCAGGUGUGCUAAGUUUGGGUGAGCUGAUGUGGUUAUUUUGGCUGGUCUGGUGAUGGUUUCCGUUGGGUCUAUAUCUCGAUUCGAGUUUGAAAAAAUAUUCAAUGUCUCAUCCUCGACUCUUGCUCACCACAUGUUUGACAAUAUGCCCAACUCAGCCCGUGUACUGGCUGUGCUGAUUUCCAUUUGUUCUUACGUGCUUAUACAGCAAGUUCGACAUCAUUAUAAACUCUUUGUUGCUUGUUGAGCAUUACUUUCAUCGUCGAA